UAGGAAGUUUAGUUUAUAACCCCUUUGGAUAGUCCGAUCAUCGUUUCUGCGUCUUUAAAAACACGUUUCGUUAUGAAAUAAAAGUGCCAAUGAAGUACAAUCAAUAAAUAAAUGAAGUGAAUCACGCAUCACAGAAAAUGUUGACAGUAAAAUUAAAUUCAGCAUUGUCGACCGGUGCGGUGAAUAGAGUAAAAUUAAGUUUUCUCUCUGCUAAAUUACGUGCAACACAACAGAAUGGUAGGAGGUUUGCCAACAGUAAUCUCAUGUGUGCAGGUCACGUUGACACGGGAUUCAAUGAAUCUGUGAGUGAACGUGCCAGAAGAGUUGCUACAAACAAUUUGUUCAUUGGUUCUAGUGCUCAGAAAGUUUCUCUGCGCUUAGCAUCUUCGGAAACUCUUCCUGUGACAGACUUUCAGGAGAAGGCUGAUAUCUUUGGCGACCUGUCCAAUGACAAGUAUGAUAAAAUUGAAAUGGAUGAGGCCGAAUUGAAAGAGGAGGAAUUUUUAAUGAAAGAAGCUAGACCGCGUCGUUCAUCUGUGCCUAGUCCUGGAAGAUAUGCAGAUAUGAUAAAGAAACAUAUUCAAUCAGGGCAUUUAGAUGCCGCUGUUGCUGUUCUUGACCAAGUGAAGCAAGAUCGCCAGAAGCCAAAUGCUUAUAUGUAUAAUUUAUUAAUAAGAGCCUUUGCUGUUCGCGGCAAUGUCAAAAAAUGUUACACUCUUUAUAAUCAAAUGAAAAAACAAGGAUUGAAACCAACCUCACCCACGUAUGUCAGCUUGAUGAAUGCUUGCGCCAACUAUCAUAAUACUCAAAUAGCAUUGGAAAAAGUCAGUCAAAUGAGGCAGUUAUUCAUUGAAAAAGCAGUGCCAUUGACUGCUGUACAUUAUAAUGUCAUGAUAAAGGUGUAUGGCCGCCAUGGCAAGCUUGCCGAAGCUUUUGAAUUGGCUGAUGAGAUGUACGACAAGAAACUGACAAUUGGAAUUAGUACUCUUAAUUUUCUUCUGCAAGGAACUAUUACUGAUAAACAGUCUGGAUUUCGACAUUCGAUUGUAAUUUGGCAGUUAAUGCGAUCUCGCAGGCUGAAGCCCAAUAUAUAUACUUACAAUCUUCUUCUCAGAUCAGCUAGAGAUUGCAAACUUGGAGACAUGAAGAUUGAAGAUAUCCUAGUGUCCCCAAAUCUGAAUAAAAUAACACCUGUGGUUACGUAUUCAGAUAGAACAAACUUACUAGUUUACCCACCCGUAGUUGGUGUAGAAAUCCCACUCAUUAAAGACUCAGAACCUCUUAAAGAAAUAGCGGAAAACGAUGAUUCUUCAGAAGUUAGACCAGAAUCUCCAGAGUCAGUUACUAUCCCCAAAAAUGAUAGUGUGAUACAACCAGCCAUUGCAGACACCAAUGCUACUUUACCACUUGCAAAUAUAACGAGUGCCUCGCCAGAAGGAAAUUUACUUUUGUUAGGUGGCUUCCAUAAUCUCAUAACUCAAAUGAAAAUUGAUAACGUGGAACCUGACAUUAAAACUGUAACAUGCUUGUUAGAACUUGUACCUUCUACGGUAUCAGCUGAAAAAGCUGUGAUCAAAUAUGCAAAGUCAAUGGGAAUCAAGUUGGACAUUGAUUUUUAUAACUUACUGAUAAGGAAAAGAAGCUUCAAAUUUGACUACAAGAAUGCCUUGGAUGUGCUGAAGUUGAUACAAAAAGAUAAUCUAGUACCAAACAUCAUGACUUGGGGUGUGUUAGCAUUAACGUGCCGCAGUGCAGCACAAGCCAAAGAAUUAUUCGAGGGCAUGGAGCUGAGUGGUCAUAGAUUGAAUAUAGAAAUUAUCGGAGCUAUUCUAGGCCAAGCUACCCGCCGGUGGCUCUUCGGGCUUGUGCUAGAAUUGAUGGAAAAGAUGCGAACUCUAAACUUGAGCCCUGACCAUAGAAUAUAUGAAACGUUGGACACAUUUAAAAGGCACGCUGCUCAAAAAGCUAAGGAUAAGAAUGCCAAAGAUUUUACAAGCGAACCUUUCUGGGCCAAUGGGUACCGCAAGUUUAACCUGAGAUAUGCUUCAUGGAUACAGGAAAUGAAAGAUUUAGAAGAUUCAAGAAGAAAACGAAUGUGAACUCUCAUUCCUUCUAUUUUCACUUUUCACACAUCCAACGGUUUCCAAUGCGACAAAAUCAUCAACGUGAAGAGAAGGUGGACGCGAAGUAUUGGGUGGCCUGGAACGGAAAGGAUCCGCACCUCGCCCCACUCCACCAGCUGCAGAGCUGCCUCUCAUAGAGUUGGCAAAUUGACCUCUGCCUCGCAUCGGUGUCACUGGAGACCAAAGAAAAAAUUCAAGAUUAGUGACAGAGUCAAAUUACGAGUAAUGUGCAAUGAGUAGAUUGAUUCCGGACUGAGGGAAACUAGAGAUUCAGAGGGUGGGGAAGAGGGUCGCUUGACUACUUUCACCACUGCAUUCACAGGAUGUUCAUCCCAUUGUUCUGCUGGAGGGUUUACCACAGCUUCUGGAGCUACUGAUCUUGAUGGUUCAACCGUUUGAAUUGGCUGUACAGGUGGAGAUGGGGUUGCGGCCACGCAAGUUUCCUAGUGAUACAUUCAAUUCAAUGACAGCACGAUCAACAGUUGUGUGAGAAGUCCUUAUGAACUACAGCUCAUGAACAAACAAAAGUUUCUCACCCAAGACGAACACCUCCUGGGAAAUCCGCUUGUACACGAGCUCCCAGUGGGAUUAUUCGGACCUCGCUUAUGAACACAGGCUUGGGAAAUUGCACCAGAUCCAAGUUGAGUUCCUGAAAUGAAGGAUUUUUCAAUUGUAUGAGAAUGACAGUUGACCUUUGAAUAUAAGGGUAUGCUGAGCAUGUACGCAUAACCUGCAUUUACCUCGGAAAUAUCAUGGGAAAAAGUAUCAAAGAAUAGUAGCUCUAUGUUUUCCAUAUUUUAUUUUCACGUUAAAAAGAGAUUAUCAUGAAUAGUAAAUUGUUGAAAGACGCCUAUCGCACACCAAUGAUAUUUAUUGUGGAAUGCCGGAGAUCUUGAAUUCAAGUUGCAGUGAGUAAUAUCAAUUGUCACUCGUCAACAAUUAUUAGGUAUUAAAAAUUACAGAUAAUUGCACUUGUAGAGUGAAAAGCCUCGUGAGUUACUGAUCCAUAAAUCUCAUUGAGAACAACAAACUAAAAUCCAUCCUACAAAUUUAUUUAUUUAUUGAUUUGAUGAGGCAAAUGAUUAAAAUUUCCCCCAACAAUGUGUAUAAAUAUCCAACCGCGAUUGCGCAUUAAUGAUUAGACCCUGAGCAUGGAUCGAACUUCCGGAAACGAAAUAUCUAUACUUUCAUACUCAUCAUUUUGACGUAGAAAUUUUGUAUUAAAUAAUUUAAUUCGGCUUAAGGCUCUUAUAUUACUGAAAUUGCAGACGGGAUACACUACUAGUUUGAGUCGUGUACCUUGUGGUGUGUACUUUUCUCUUUUUCAACAGUUUGGCAUCGUCCGUUGAUAAGUUAGCACUUUUUAUUUCGUUGGCAUCACGAUCACUAUGAUGGUCUUGUGAUCGAGCAGCUGAGCACCGAUAAUAUAGCUGGAACUUAGAGGUUUGUCUUGGCUGGAUAGCAUCGUCGCGCACCAGCUAAACCUCUGUUUUCGGUGUAUUUUUGAAAAAAAUUUAGCAGUCAGUGAAAACUAACAAU